rnacentral:rRNA from 1 species
CCUACGGGAGGCAGCAGUGAGGAAUAUUGGUCAAUGGACGAGAGUCUGAACCAGCCAAGUAGCGUGAAGGAUGACUGCCCUAUGGGUUGUAAACUUCUUUUAUAUGGGAAUAAAAUGUUCCACGUGUGGGAUUUUGUAUGUACCAUAUGAAUAAGGAUCGGCUAACUCCGUGCCAGCAGCCGCGGUAAUACGGAGGAUCCGAGCGUUAUCCGGAUUUAGUGGGUUUAAAGGGAGCGUAGGUGGAUUGUUAAGUCAGUUGUGAAAGUUUGCGGUUCAACCGUAAAAUUGCGGUUGAAACUGGCAGUCUUGAGUACAGUAGAGGUGGGCGGAAUUCGUGGUGUAGCGGUGAAAUGCUUAGAUAUCACGAAGAACUCCGAUUGCGAAGGCAGCUCACUGGACUGCAACUGACACUGAGGCUCGAAAGUGUGGGUAUCAAACAGGAUUAGAUACCCCAGUAGUC